rnacentral:lncRNA from 1 species
AUGUAAAUAUAUACCCAGAUAGCAAUAACACUCGGGCUGAUUCUGGCUGAAAUGCGUCUCUGUCGGUUCAGUCUCGGCAUCGGUGAGAAGAUAAUGGACCAGAGCCGCGCCGACUCUACAAAACACUUCUGGCUGACAGACGGCUUUUUCUCUAUGGGCCGAUCUCGGCUGAAAGCUGUUGUACACGCGGCAGGUCCACACUCGCUGUAGUUGUGUGUAUUAACAUUCGGCCCGAGUUCGUUUUAUCACAGACGGGGCGCUGCUAGAAUGAAGCAAAUCAUCCGCCUGAGAAGACUUUUUUUAGCGGUUAAAUCCUGAGGAGCUUUCGGCGGGUAGUCGCCAGUGGCGACCUCAGCAAAAACGUCACUCGCAAAUUAAUAUUUAUGGUCGCAAAUGCGACUGUUUUAGUCGCAGUUUGGAGCCCUGUUUUAGUCUGAAAAGCCACACUAAGUUGAUUACAUUUGUAGGUUCCCUUUCUGCAUGAACAAACAUAUAAUAUAUUGAUCUCUCUCUCUCUCUCUCUCUCUCUCUCUCUCUCCAAUAUAAUAUAUUGUAUCUCUCUCUCUCUCUCUCUCUCUCUCUCUCUCUCGGUGUGAGUGAUGUGUUUGUGUGCGUCAGUACUGAAAGCUGUGCAUUAAUGUAGAACGGUGAUCAAACUGACUUGGAACUACCUGUGCAUUAAACAGUUUUAAUGCAUACCUGCCUGCCAAUCAGAAUUGAGUAUUCAAACAAAUGUGUUUUAGAGUUACUUUGUCAGUUGUCUGUAUUUGUUUUAAAGAUUGGGACUAAAUAACUGAGCUGAUCUAUUUUCCACAGCCUUGGCACAAAACACGUCACACAAGAGGAGAACCAUUUGAUGGAAGAAAAGAAAAAGAAAAAGCAAGAGGAAAAGAAAAAGAAGGAAGCUGCUCAGAAAAAGGCUGCUGAACAGAAAACCAAAGUGCCAGACUCUGCCAAGCCCAGCCCCAACCCUCCUCCCCCCACCAACCCGUCCGUGCCCUCAGCCAGCAGCAGCACUGGUGGCAAUGGCAAGCGCGCACCCUCCGGCAACCAACAGCAGCAGUCGGCAGCCCCUCGCUACCCGCCCCGAGAGGUGCCCCCUCGUUUCCGUCAACACGAACACAAGCAGCUACUGAAGCGAGGCCAACCUCUGCCCACCGGAAGUACGGCUCUUGUGCAGCCAGUGUCCACCAACGCUACGACUCAGUUCUUCUCCUGCCAGACCCACCCAGGUCAGCCUCUCCUCCAUGAUGUACACAGGGCAGCCUGCUAA